GAAAGGCUCCUGUUUGCAGACUAUAAUACAUCACAUUAAUUUCAUACAUGAGUUUUGCAGUUUUGAGCCUCCAUACUUUCUGCUUCACUGACUACAUGGACUACUUUCUAGCAAAAAAUGGCUGAAAAUUUUGGCCAACAACCAUCAGGAAAUUGUGCCAGUAUUUCAUUGUGAAGGGAUUUUGAGUGAAUUCCUUUGUAGGUUUUCAUAGACUACAGAUUGAAGAAAUUAAAUAACAUUUUUGUGGAAUUUUAGGACUUAGCUUGUGUUAGCUAGGGACGCAACCAUCCAAUGAAUUUAAAUGUGUUCUC